rnacentral:miRNA from 10 species
GGGCGUGCGCGCGCGCGAGCGCGUGUGUGUGUGUGUGUGUGUGUGUGCUCGUGCGGGGGGCCGGGCUGCGUGCUCACGCGCUCCAGGCUGCGCCCAG